GACGAACGCUGGCGGCGUGCUUAACACAUGCAAGUCGAACGGAAAGGCCCUGCUUUUGUGGGGUGCUCGAGUGGCGAACGGGUGAGUAACACGUGAGUAACCUGCCCUUGACUUUGGGAUAACUUCAGGAAACUGGGGCUAAUACCGGAUAGGAGCUCCUGCUGCAUGGUGGGUUGGAAAGUUUCGGCGGUUGGGGAUGGACUCGCGGCUUAUCAGCUUGUUGGUGGGGUAGUGGCUUACCAAGGCUUUGACGGGUAGCCGGCCUGAGAGGGUGACCGGCCACAUUGGGACUGAGAUACGGCCCAGACUCCUACGGGAGGCAGCAGUGGGGAAUAUUGCACAAUGGGCGGAAGCCUGAUGCAGCAACGCCGCGUGCGGGAUGACGGCCUUCGGGUUGUAAACCGCUUUCGCCUGUGACGAAGCGUGAGUGACGGUAAUGGGUAAAGAAGCACCGGCUAACUACGUG
rnacentral:rRNA from 1 species